rnacentral:rRNA from 1 species
GACGGGGGAUGCAAGCGUUAUCCGGAAUCACUGGGCGUAAAGCGUCUGUAGGGGGUGAUGCAAGUCACUGGUGCAAAACUCUGGCUCAACCGGAGGAAAGCCAGUGAAACUGCAUGACUAGAGUGUGGGAGAGGUAGAAGGAAUUCCCUGAGUAGCGGUGAAAUGCGUAGAUACAGGGAAGAACACCGGAGGCGAAAGCGUUCUACUGGAACACAACUGACACUGAGAGACGAAAGCUAGGGGAGCAAACCGG